rnacentral:piRNA from 1 species
GAGCUCUGUGAGGUAACAACGAAAAG